CAGACGAUGUUUUCAAUAGAAAAUUAGUACAGAAACUUGUCGCGAGGUGUCCUGCCAUGUUGUUUACUGCUAAAACUUCCGAUUUCUAGGUAAAAACAUACACGGCAAUAGAAAAAGGAAAAGGAAGCAACCUGUUGUUGAUGCUGGCUGCAAUGCACAUGUCGUGAAAGAUCGUGUGGACAUUUAUGACCAACGAUUGGAAGUAGUGGAAGAAGACAUUGUUAAACUUAAAAAAAUUGUCAAAACUCUUCAAAACGUAGACAGUCAUGAAGCCGACGUCGAAAGGUCAACGACCACUUAUCCGGUGCAUGAUUACGCCACUCUCGACGUGUACGGACACGACCUGCAGCAGCCACUUUUUGAUGUUCAGUUGUCAACCACUGGCCCGGUGCAUGAUGAUGGCCUAACUCUCGACGUGUCCAAGCUCGACGAGUCCGAAUUCUGUCAACUAUUCGAUGAUAAUUUCUAUUUAUUGAUGCAGCCUGUUAGGCUGUUGAACAAUCAUUUACUGGCGAUGUUGCGAAUUCUGCAGAAUUGCAGGUCGACAUGCAACAGCCAGUUGUCGAAGUUCAAUCAUCAACCAGUUACCCGGUGCAUGACGACCUACCUCUCCACGUGUCAGAAAUCUGUCAAUUACUCGAUGUGCAGCCUGUUGAACAAUUAUUUACUGGCGAUGUUGCGAAUUCUGCAAUCGAACCACCAAAUGUUGUCGCUGUGUUGGACGAUCAGCUUGUCACAUCACCAAAAGCUGAUACCGUUCAACAACAAAAAAUGUAUACAGAAUGUUUCGAUUUCCUUGACGGCAUGAAAACUUCAGUGGCCGAUAUGCACACCAAACACUUUUUGACCACACUUUUGGCUGGCUUUGAUACUGGCAAAUUGAAACAUCUGUGUGAUCAAAUCGAACAAUAUAACAUGUGCAUUGGAAAGCAAUACCAUGUAAAAGACGGGUGUUACGAUAAAUGUAUGUUGAAAUUUAUUCGGACGAACCUGGACAGUCGCGGGAUCACCACAGCGGUUGCCAGAUAUGGUUUUUCUGUUCUCCUGUUAAACGCAUACAAUUGAGUCGCCGAUAGCAACAAUCCAGAGGAUUUGAUAACCCUGGACAAGUUGACAGAGGAGAGUAUUCAACAUUUUGAAUGUAGGUGCGCUUCUUGCUUGAAUAGUUGAACUCGAUUAGUUUAGCAUUAUUUAGUCUGAGUAAUGGAAGUUAUGCAUGCAGUUGAAGUUUGGACAUGUGGGCGACACAUGAAACAAAUGUUACAUGAAAUUUUCUAGUUUUAGCUAAAUGAUGAUUUGAGAUUGCUAAACGCUCUUUGGUUCAGUGUUUAGAGGAAUAUUUAACAGAAUGACUGGCAUAAAAGUGCAAUUGUCAUACCGUAUGCAAGUACUGUCCACGUUGUACGCGGAUGUGCGGCCUUUUAUUCUUAUAGGGCGGUAUAUGGUGUCGCGCAAGUAAACAUUUGACUACACGUUUUUGUAUAUACUCGUUUGUGUACUUUCAGCGCAUCCUUAUGAUAAAUAUAUACUGAUGAUAUGACCGACACGAUGAGGACCGACGAUUCGACGUGCGUGAAAAUGCACGACGAAAAGCUGUUGUGUGACGACCUACGUCCUAUUGUCGAGCGUGGUCAUUGGUAUACCACUAAGACCCUAGAGGUACAACUCCUGAACGUGGUCAAGAAGCACGAAGUGGAUCACUUGGUGGAAGUGCUAGACACGACAUGGUUCAGAUAUUGGAAGGGUAAAGUGGAAAAAGAUCUAAAAGAAAAAUGUAAAACUCCUAUUUCCCAAAACGAGUCAAGGAAGUGCCAUUAUUUUGUACCUUAUAACACUAGUCAUCACUGGGUGUUGAUAUGCAGCGUAAAAAGUGUUUUGUCUUCGACAGCGUAUAUGAACGCCGGGAUUACAUUAUGCGGAUAUUCCAUUCAAUUCACGGCAACGAGUUCACGUCUUCCAAGUGCACUAAAAACAUGUUACCAGAAGGACACUUCUUCCUGUGGACUUAUGUGCGUCCGACAUGCGGAAUAUUUCGUGAUGAGCUAUGUGUCCAAAGUCUGUCCAUUGAUUAUAGAGGUCAUGGCACAACAUGAUAAUUCGAUGCACUUGCAUAACUAUUGGCUGCACAGAAAACACCGUUUGUACGAUUCAUCGAAAAUACAUAACCAAACUGGCGACAAAUCGAUUACACCACCGAUAACGACUGUUUCAUUGUUGACUCACCAAAAUCGGACUCUGGUGAUGUCGCAUCACAUCGUGCUGACGGUGAUGACAAAUGUUCCGAAUUUAACUCUCACCAGCCACAAGGAAGGGUUGUUGAAUUGUACUCUCGAUACUCGAGACUCCGACAAAAAAGAAUAAUAGGAAUUGAUUGACACUAUAGACCCAUGUUUAUAAUUAGGGUCCCUUGUUUACAAAUUUGCCAAAUUGUCACUUUUUUGGCCCCACUUCAAGGCCUUGAAGUGCGGUCCGUUCGGAAAAUUCACCAAGGACAGAGAAACGUGAUGUACCUAUGGCGAAUAUCUUAGACAAUAUAAAAACCUCUUUAGAUGAAUAGUCAAGGAAUAAAUGUGAAGGAGUUAUAAACACAACCGAACUGGACAAAGCUCUAAAAUCCUUCGAUAAUAACAAGUCACCGGGUAGUGAUGGGCUCUCAAAAGAAUUUUUUGUGCAAUUUUGGGACAUUUUAAGAGAAGAGCUUCUGGAUGUUUUUAAUUGUGCAUACAAUGUAGGGAAUCUAACAGAUAGUCAGAGAGAAGCGAUUGUGACUCUACUGUAUAAAAGUGGCGAAAAAGAAAAUAUAAAGAAUUGGAGGCCUAUAUCCCUCCUCAAUGUGGACUAUAAACUACUUGCAAAAUGUAUUGCAAAUCGUAUAAAAAAUGUAAUGGCUGAAAUCAUUAGUAAAGACCAAACAUGUGGAGUACCAGGCAGAUCAAUUUAUAAAAACAUAAUUUUUACCCAGGAUGCAAUAUUUUAUGCAAAUAAAGCCAAAAAACCUCUGGCAAUAAUAAGUAUCGACCAAAGCAAAGCCUUUCCUUGAAAAGUUUGGAUUUGGAAAAGAGAUAAUCAAUUGGAUAAAAAUUAUAUAUACAAAUACUGGAAGCAGAAUUUGUACAAACGGCUUCUUAUCAGAGGCAUUUAUAAUUACAAGAGGAGUGAGGCCAUAUCGUGACACCGCGUUUGAAUUUUUUUGGAAUUUGAAUUUAUUUAUUCCACCAUAGUACAGAAUGCACCUUUGGUGCGAUACAGAAAAUAACAUAAUUGAAAUUACAAUGAAUACUAACACAUACUACGAACAGCAGGCCACAAAGGCCAAAAAUAAAAUCUUACAUACAUGUAGCAAUGACAAUAAAAAUUGGUAACUAAGAAUUUACUAAACCUUCUAUCUUAGAAGUUUCUUUUAGAAAGGAGGUAAUAUUUUUCCUCAUUUUGAUGUUUCUGCUGGAUUCACUCAUGAUAUCUCCAAAUUUCAGCACAUUUGGGUUCUUAUAAUAAUACCUUGGCACAUAUUUUUUCCUUACUUGGUCUAACUCUUUACAUUCCAACAGAAUGUGAAACUCAUCAUGAGAGGAAGCAUUACAUAGAACACAUUUCCCAAGGGUUCCCAUUUUAUAUGCCAUUUUACCAAGUCUGAAAUCUGUCCACAAUUUCACAAUGUACUCAUUGUUUGAGUCUAGGUAUGGUUCUCUGCUGAUUUCUUUUUUGAACAACCGAUAAUUUGUACACUUGCUGUUCUCAUUUAUCUUUGAAAAUGAAUUUUGCGCCGCCUGGUCUGUGAGACUUCUGGCAAUGUUCUGUUUGAUAAAAUGUUUUUCUGGCGCAACCUGCGUAUUCCAUAAGUAGGAGUACCCUGAGUCAUCAAGAACAGAUUUGACAAAUUUUAUCCAAGGAGAUGUAUACACUUCAUUUCUGUCUAAUGCUAAUAAUAACUGAUACACUCGAUAACUAAGUUUUGAAUGAUUACCUCUUAAUAACCUUGCCCAAAAUUGGACAGUUCUCUGCUUAAUUUCUACACUCAAGGGCAAUCUCCCAGUCUCACAAAGCAGCAUCUCCAUUGGUGUGAAACGAUGGACUUUCAAUGCUAAUCUUAUAAAUUUAUGCUGUAGCCUUUCUAAUAUUGCAAGAGAUUC